rnacentral:rRNA from 1 species
GACGUAGGGCGCGAGCGUUGUCCGGAUUUAUUGGGCGUAAAGAGCUCGUAGGCGGUCUGUCGCGUCCGUUGUGAAAACUCGAGGCUCAACCUCGGGCUUGCAGUGGAUACGGGCAGACUAGAGUGCGGUAGGGGAGACUGGAAUUCCUGGUGUAGCGGUGGGAAUGCGCAGAUAUCAGGAGGAACACCGAUGGCGAAGGCAGGUCUCUGGGCCGCAACUGACGC